AGCCUCAGUGCCCAGCUCUCCCUGGUUCCUGGAGCUUCUCCUGGCAAGCUGUGGGCUGUCCCUUACCCCCAGCUCCUACUCUUCCCAUCCCUCACUCCUUCAGAGGUGACUUUUCUGUCAGCCCUCCACCUCCAAUCAAAGAUCGCUUAGAUGGCUCCUGGGACCCAUCUUCUCAUGACCCAGCCCUGCUUCCCAGGACAGAUCCCACCAAAGCUGUGAAGCUCUGACCAAGCAUUUGCCUCUCUCUGGGCCUCAGCAUUCUCCUGUGGAAGUUGGAGGGGGUGGGAUGACAAGACCUCAAAGGGCCCUCCCAGCCCUGACAUUCCAGUCUAGGGGCCCAUUGAGGCACGGAGUGGAGGAUUCAAGACCCAAGACCCAAGAAAGCUGCCCUGUCUUCUGCAAUGCGAGGUUGUACUUGGGCCAGAACACACUCCCUUUCUCUCGUUCUCUCUCUUUUUCUCUCUUUCUCUCUCAUUCUCUUGUUCUCUUUCUCUCUCUCCUCUCCUGUUCUC